CGGUGAUUGGGACUAAGCGUAACAAGGUAUCCGUAGGUGAACCUGCAGAAGGAUCA
rnacentral:rRNA from 1 species